rnacentral:rRNA from 1 species
UACGUAGGGUGCAAGCGUUGUCCGGAAUUAUUGGGCGUAAAGAGCUCGUAGGCGGUCUGUCGCGUCUGCUGUGAAAACUCAGGGCUUAACCCUGAGCUUGCAGUGGGUACGGGCAGACUAGAGUGCGGUAGGGGGAGACUGGAAUUCCUGGUGUAGCGGUGAAAUGCGCAGAUAUCAGGAGGAACACCGGUGGCGAAAGGCGGGGUCUCUGGGCCGUAACUGACGCUGGAGGAGCGAAAAGCAUGGGGGAGCGAACAGG